AUCUACUCAUAGCAAUCAACGACUCAUUGACUACGGAGUAGCCAAAUGUUCAUGGAUAUAGUGGUUUUCGCAGGUAUCGGCACUGUCCUACUGAUGAUUUCAUUUUUUGCUGGCCUUGCUUACUUUCUCUGGAAGAAUGAAACCGGUAAAGAGUAAGCAACGCUUCGCAUACUAGGCACGCAAGGCAAUUUGGCAGCUAACUUUAGCUGCCUUUUUUUAU
rfam:Oblitimonas alkaliphila strain E5571 chromosome.